CUUCAGCACUGCAGGGAGAUGUAGCUGCUGGGCACCUAUCUACACUAGGGGUGUGCACGGAACCAGUUCUGUGCACACCCGGGAGAGAUCCAGAAACAAGGAAAGAAGCAGCCCAGCUGAUCUUCAACAGGGCAGCCACCACCAAGAAGGCCCUGUUUCUUGUACCUGUCAGAGUGAGGGAGAAGGGGGGAAAGCACCCAGAUGGUGAAGGAAUUGCUCGCCAACGGGAAGAGGGCCAGAGAGCCAUCUGAGUGAGGCGGUAGAAGAAGAAGAAGAAGAAGAAGAAGAAGAAGAAGAAGAAGAAGAAGAAGAAGAAGAAGAAGAAGAAGAAGAAGAAGAAAUUAUUAAAUCUAAUGUAGACUGGUGGGCACCGGUUCUUGCUGCUCUUUUUACUUUUAUAAACUCUACUGGCCAUAUAACUCAUGACUGGGGCACUGCAAUUGUUGUACCCAUUUUCAAGAAGGGGGAGAAGAAAGUUCCAUCUAAUAUCGCCCUAUAUCCUUGUUAAGUGUUGUGAGCAAGCUCUAUGCCAAGCACCUUCUGUGGAAACUGCAUGACUGGAUGGAAGAGCCUGGCAUACUGGGUGAUGAUGAUGAUGAUGACGACGAUGACGAUG